CAGUCGAACGGAACUGUUUUGAAAGAUUUCUUCGGAAUGAAUUUGAUUUAGCUUAUUGGCGGACGGGUGAGUAACGCGUGAGUAACCUGCCUUCAAGAGGGGGAUAACAUUCUGAAAAGAAUGCUAAUACCGCAUGACAUAUCGGAACCACAUGGUUCUGAUAUCAAAGAUUUUAUCGCUUGAAGAUGGACUCGCGUCCGAUUAGUUAGUUGGUGAGGUAACGGCUCACCAAGACCGCGAUCGGUAGCCGGACUGAGAGGUUGAACGGCCACAUUGGGACUGAGACACGGCCCAGACUCCUACGGGAGGCAGCAGUGGGGGAUAUUGCGCAAUGGGGGCAACCCUGACGCAGCAACGCCGCGUGAAGGAUGAAGGUUUUCGGAUUGUAAACUUCUUUUAUUAAGGACGAAAAUUGACGGUACUUAAUGAAUAAGCUCCGGCUAACUACGUGCCAGCAGCCGCGGUAAUACGUAGGGAGCAAGCGUUGUCCGGAUUUACUGGGUGUAAAGGGUGCGUAGGCGGCAUUGCAAGUCAGAUGUGAAAUCUAUGGGCUCAACCCAUAAACUGCAUUUGAAACUGUAGAGCUUGAGUGAAGUAGAGGCAGGCGGAAUUCCCCGUGUAGCGGUGAAAUGCGUAGAGAUGGGGAGGAACACCAGUGGCGAAGGCGGCCUGCUGGGCUUUAACUGACGCUGAGGCACGAAAGCGUGGGUAGCAAACAGGAUUAGAUACCCUGGUAGUCCACGCUGUA
rnacentral:rRNA from 1 species